AGAGCGAACGCUGGCGGCAGGCCUAAUACAUGCAAGUCGAACGGACCCUUCGGGGUUAGUGGCGGACGGGUGAGUAACACGUGGGAACGUGCCCUUUGGUUCGGAACAACUCAGGGAAACUUGAGCUAAUACCGAAUGUGCCCUUCGGGGGAAAGAUUUAUCGCCAUUGGAGCGGCCCGCGUCUGAUUAGCUAGUUGGUGAGGUAAAGGCUCACCAAGGCGACGAUCAGUAGCUGGUCUGAGAGGAUGAUCAGCCACACUGGGACUGAGACACGGCCCAGACUCCUACGGGAGGCAGCAGUAGGGAAUCUUGCGCAAUGGGCGAAAGCCUGACGCAGCCAUGCCGCGUGAAUGAUGAAGGUCUUAGGAUUGUAAAAUUCUUUCAGCGGGACGAUAAUGACGGUACCGCAGAAGAAGCCCCGGCUAACUUCGUGCCAGCAGCCGC
rnacentral:rRNA from 1 species